rnacentral:rRNA from 1 species
AACGAACGCUGGCGGCAUGCCUAACACAUGCAAGUCGAACGAAGCCUUCGGGCUUAGUGGCGCACGGGUGCGUAACACGUGGGAAUCUGCCCUUCGGUUCGGAAUAACAGUUAGAAAUGACUGCUAAUACCGGAUGAUGACGAAAGUCCAAAGAUUUAUCGCCGAAGGAUGAGCCCGCGUAAGGAUUAGGUAGUUGGUAGGGUAAUGGCCUACCAAGCCGACGAUCCUUAGCUGGUCUGAGAGGAUGAUCAGCCACACUGGGACUGAGACACGGCCCAGACUCCUACGGGAGGCAGCAGUGGGGAAUAUUGGACAAUGGGCGAAAGCCUGAUCCAGCAAUGCCGCGUGAGUGAUGAAGGCCUUAGGGUGUAAAGCUCUUUACCAGGGAUGAUAAUGACAGUACCUGGAGAAUAAGCUCCGGCUAACUCCGUGCCAGCAGCCGCGGUAAU